UCUCAUCAGGUGAACUUACACCUGUAAUAUCUGCGAUCACAAACGAAAUAGAAAUAAACACUCAUGGAUGUACUCUUGCUCGGUUGAAAAAUGAUAUGGCACAGUGCGGCCCUGUCUGGAGUAUUGAUCUGUAGGAGAGUUGUCUGCCGCCCCUCCCAAGCCCAACUCUAGAUGUUUCAUCCCUCCACAACCCUUGAACAACAAGGAUGUCGUGCACCUGUGACUAGGCUGUUGGCGAAUACCCUAUUAGGGUAAUGGGACGAAACGGGCCAGAGAAAGGGUAGCCGAGCCACGGAGGUGGAUUGUAUAUGAAUGAACCCGGACCCGCUGACUUCCUGCGUUUAGGAAGGUCGUGCACCGUCGCUUUCAUUUAUCGACGAGAGCCUCCACUACACACAAGAACAACGGGGGUGACCGACCCCGGGAAUGUUGUCUUUCGAUUAAAAGAAAAGCUACUUUCACUACUAUGAAAUUACAUACGUGCCAAUUCAUUCGAAACCGAAUUGUAAAAUGAUCUUCAGCGGAAUCAGAAUUUUUUAAUUAUUCGAAUAUGUCAAUGUCCUACUCAAACGAGUCCGGCAACUAACAGUUCAGUAUCAGUAUUGUUAAUAAUCUGUUUAUUUUGAGCGUUUCAAUUUGAAAUGGAUUUCUGUAAUAGAAUAUUUAUAUCAUGUAAAAAUAAUAUUUUGUAAUGUUCCAAGAUUCAUCGUUUUAAUACUGAAUUUGCGGACGUUUAACGACCACAUAUAUUUACAUUGAAAUAAAAUUAUAAAAAUAAAUAAAUAAUAGAUAGUAAACUAACUUACACAAUGAUUCUUUAUCUUGACGAAGGUUAAUGAAUAUUUGGCACAAAUUUUGUAAAAAUUUUCGUAAUUUGAAGUAAAAAAUCUAGCAGCCACUUUGUGGAGUUUUCUAAAUCUAGUGUUAAACUCGCUUCAUAAUAAUUCGAGUAAGCAAGGAAGUACUUUU